rnacentral:rRNA from 1 species
UACGGAGGGUGCAAACGUUGCUCGGAAUUACUGGGCGUAAAGCGCGCGCAGGCGGUCCUUCAAGUCAGAGGUGAAAGCCCAGAGCUCAACUCUGGAAUGGCCUUUGAGACUAGAGGACUUGGGUACGGGAGAGGUGAGUGGAAUUCCGAGUGUAGAGGUGAAAUUCGUAGAUAUUCGGAAGAACACCAGUGGCGAAGGCGGCUCACUGGCCCGUUACCGACGCUCAGGCGCGACAGCGUGGGGAGCAAACAGG